UUCACUUAACUUGUGUUAUAUCUUUGAAAUGUUCUAAAGGCAUGUACCCUCAACUUUCUUGUUGUGGAUAUCACUGUUGUAUAGCCUACAGAUUACUUAAAGUCGUCAUGAAACAGAAGAAGUGAUUGUCUUAUUUUCCAUUGUGACAUAUGCGACUGAAAAGGCAUCUGACAUGGUAGACUUGAUUUUAAAAGAGAACUGAAUGGAUCGUUGUAAGUUGGGUCACGUUGCUAAUCGCAAGGGACAUUAAAAUCAUUUCCUUUGGUCGUUUUAAAUUUGCUUAAAUUUUUGUGUUAAUAGAUGUGAUGGAAAACAUGAUUGUUCAGUUUCUGCGAGUAAGGUGGUUUUGAUCCCUGUAAAUAACUCAAAUAUCUGAAUGUGUCCUAUAACUGUGUUCUAAGUAGUUAUUACAAUGACUUACGUGGUUAUUGUGGAUGGUCUAUAACUGACUUUUCUUUUGGCAAUCAAAUUUGUAUUAAGCUUUAUCGUUUACACCACAGCAGCUAUUUCCUUGUUUCAACUUAUAUUUUUUACUGUUUCACAAUAUAGGAUGAAUCGAGCAAUUAAAACAUCUGCUGAUCUCUAUUUCUAGGCAUACUAUGGAGUUGGCGUAAUAAAUCCAGAUUUUUAUUAAUUACGUUUUAGUCAUUGUGAAUCAUUUAUGUAUAAUCUGAAUUUUUGUAUUGUAAAAUUAUUAAAAACAAGAAAUGUUAUUAGACUAUGUUGAAUCGAUUCAGUUUAAUUCAUUACGACUAACCAUAAUAUAAUUGACUAAAGUGUUUUUUUCUGAUUUGUGGUCAGUCUUUUGUUUCUCCUGAAUGGGUCUUAAGUAUGUGCUUUCCUAAUGUAACCCAUAUUGUCUGUUCCAUAAAUUGUUUUCAAAUGCAUAUACUAUAUUGUUCUGUUCUAUGUAUGUUCUUUGAUAAGUCACAUUCAGGUUUGAAAUUGUCAGAGACAAAGGAACCCCCAUCCCUAUAAUGUUAAACACGCUCUUUUAUGUUUAUGAUGAAACAAUUCCACCCCUUUCAGAGCAUUUUAUAUAAAGACGAUGUCAAUGUCAUAUCCCUAUAUAACAAGAAAGCCAACAUCUGUUCAACCAUCUUCACUUUCAACAUGCUGCAUCAAGGGCUGACUUUUAUUCCUUUAUUACUGCUACUAUGCCAGCAUGGUCUUGGUCUCAAAGUAUUUCAGAGCAUCGGCAGUAGGAACCAUAAUGCUGAGAUCAAUUGUG